rnacentral:rRNA from 1 species
UACGGGGGGGGUAAGCGUUGUUCGGAAUCACUGGGCGUAAAGGGCGCGUAGGCGGCCGGUCAAGUCGGGGGUGAAAGCCUGUGGCUCAACCACAGAAUUGCCUUCGAUACUGUUUGGCUUGAGACCGGAAGAGGUUAGUGGAACUGCGAGUGUAGAGGUGAAAUUCGUAGAUAUUCGCAAGAACACCAGUGGCGAAGGCGGCUGACUGGUCCGGUUCUGACGCUGAGGCGCGAAAGCGUGGGGAGCAAACAGG